rnacentral:hammerhead_ribozyme from 1 species
GCAUUGUUGAGUAGUCCCACAAUAGGACGAAACGGCCGUCCAGUGC